rnacentral:rRNA from 1 species
UACAGGGGGGCAAGCGUUGUUCGGAAUUACUGGGCGUAAAGGGCGCGUAGGCGGCCUUCUAAGUCGAACGUGAAAUCCCCGGGCUCAACCCGGGAACUGCGUCCGAUACUGGGAGGCUUGAAUCCGGGAGAGGGAUGUGGAAUUCCAGGUGUAGCGGUGAAAUGCGUAGAUAUCUGGAGGAACACCGGUGGCGAAAGGCGGCAUCCUGGACCGGUAGUUGACGCUGAGGCGCGAA